GUAGGCCGGGACACGUGAAAUCCUGGUUGAAGAUGGGUGGACCAUCAUCCAAGGCUAAAUACUACUUACUGACCGAUAGUGAACCAGUACCGUGAGGGAAAGGUGAAAAGAACCCCGGAGAGGGGAGUGAAAUAGAAUCUGAAACCGUUUGCGUACAAGCAGUGGGAGCAUGGUUUAGGCUGUGUGACUGCGUACCUUUUGUAUAAUGGGUCAGCGAGUUACUUUCAGUGGCGAGGUUAACUGAAUAAGGGAGCCGUAGAGAAAUCGAGUCUGAAUAGGGCGAUAGUCGCUGGGAGUAGACCCGAAACCGGGCGAUCUAGCCAUGUGCAGGAUGAAGGUUGGGUAACACCAACUGGAGGUCCGAACCGGGUAAUGUUGAAAAAUUAUCGGAUGACGUGUGGCUAGGAGUGAAAGGCUAAUCAAGCCCGGAGAUAGCUGGUUCUCCCCGAAAGCUAUUUAGGUAGCGCCUCGUGAAUGAUUACUGGGGGUAGAGCACUGUUUCGGCUAGGGGGCUGUCAUGGCUUACCAAACCGAUGCAAACUCCGAAUACCGGCUAAUUGAAUCACGGGAGACACACGGCGGGUGCUAACGUCCGUCGUGGAGAGGGAAACAACCCAGACCGCCAGCUAAGGUCCCCAAGUACUAGUUAAGUGGGAAACGAUGUGGGAAGGCAUAGACAGCCAGGAGGUUGGCUUAGAAGCAGCCACCCUUUAAAGAAAGCGUAAUAGCUCACUGGUCGAGUCGGCCUGCGCGGAAGAUGUAACGGGGCUAAAACUAGUCACCGAAGCUGCGGAUGUGCGCGAAGGCGCACGUGGUAGGGGAGCGUUCUGUAGGCUGAUGAAGGUGCAUUGAGAAGUGUGCUGGAGGUAUCAGAAGUGCGAAUGCUGACAUGAGUAACGAUAAUGUGGGUGAAAAGCCCACACGCCGGAAGUCCCAGGUUUCCUGCACGACGUUAAUCGGAGCAGGGUGAGUCGGCCCCUAAGGCGAGGCUGAAGAGCGUAGUCGAUGGGAACCAGGUUAAUAUUCCUGGACUUUUUAUAAGUGGUGAAGUGGGGACGAAGAAGGCUAGGUGAGCCAGGCGUUGGUUGUCCUGGUACUUGCAUGUAGGGGGGAAGACUUGGCAAAUCCGGUUUUCCAUAACUCUGAGGUGCGAAGUGGUUCUGACCUUUUGGUACAGAGAAGUCAUUGAUGCCCGGCUUCCAGGAAAAGCUGCUAGCCAUAACUUAUAGAGAACCGUACCGCAAACCGACACAGGUGGACAGGUAGAGAAUACUAAGGCGCUUGAGAGAACUCGGGUGAAGGAACUAGGCAAAAUGGUACCGUAACU
rnacentral:rRNA from 1 species